rnacentral:rRNA from 1 species
UACGAAGGGGGCUAGCGUUGUUCGGAAUUACUGGGCGUAAAGCGCACGUAGGCGGAUAUUUAAGUCAGGGGUGAAAUCCCGGGGCUCAACCCCGGAACUGCCUUUGAUACUGGGUAUCUCGAGUCCGAGAGAGGUGAGUGGAAUUCCGAGCGUAGAGGUGAAAUUCGUAGAUAUUCGGAGGAACACCAGUGGCGAAGGCGGCUCACUGGCUCGGUACUGACGCUGAGGUGCGAAAGCGUGGGGAGCAAACAGG